rnacentral:lncRNA from 1 species
AGUUUAGAUCUGUUUUUACCUAUCGUCCAGAAAAAAGCCAAACAAAAAUUAGAAUUAGUUACCUUGUCCCAAAAACCAAUCUGAGCCUUGCAAUUUUCACAUUAGUAUUUGCAUUGUUGAAUCUUUGCUGCAUUAAUCGUGUCGAGUUGCUGGAUUAGAUUGGAUUGUUUUUCAGAUUUUUUUUCUACUAGAUCGAACUUGCUUUUGGUUUUCUUGUUCUUCAUGUGACGCAGGUUUUCUUCAUCAAUCUUCCGCCGCCAAACUCCCUGCCACACCACCGCCACGCCAUAAUCUUCUGCUACCACCAUAUCUUCCAUCGAGUCCCUCGUCGAGUACUACACCGAGUCCCUCUUCGAGUCCUACACCGAGUCCCUCUUCAAGCCUACACCGAGUCCCUCGUUGAGUCCUACACCGUGUCCCUCUUCGAGUCCUACAUCGAGUCGGCAAGUUAUAGUUUUCAUGAUACGGGUGCGGGUGGCCGAUCUUUCGAUGAGAUUGGUAACUCUCGAUUUGGGUAGGAGGUGACGUUGGCGAUCCGACUACGGCCUAGGAGGCAGCGCCUUAGCAAUCGAUACACCAACUCCAAAGGGUUAUUGAUCACGCGGGGGCACGAUCAACCUGACCACGAAGGUCUUUGUUCCUGCAAGCAAUCGAAGAACAAGCAAGAACAAGAUAAAUAGCGGAUGCAAUCUAAAAUUGCGAAUAUACUAUAUCAAACCAAUGUCUCAACGAGACGAUAAGUUGGGGUUCCGAAAGCGGUAAAACAGGUGGUCUAACCGACACACGCGAUUACACGAAGUAGUAGCGAUGGCUAACUUUUCACUAAACAAAACCCAAGGCUCCUUAGGGGGGCUCAUGGGGUAUAUAAAGGAGGAGGGAGAGAUACUUUCGUCCACCUUGAAUAAGGAGUCCGAAAUCCAACUCUAUCUCUAACUUUCCUAACAAACUACAACUCUUUAGAAAACAGAAAAACAGAUCCGUCAGCUUGUUUUGUCCGCCACGGUCAGCACGAGUCGAAUCUCUUGAUGGGGCCAGAUCCGUUGGAAAGGCCUUGUAAUUAACUUUCCAACAAGUACUUGUUUGCUUGAUUUGGACUCCGGAUGCGGCCUGGGUGAUUAAAACAAAUUCGGGUCUCCUGACAGCUCGGACCCGAAUCGGAUUCAACUUUAAUUCGUGAUAUCUUUCUCUAGCAAGCUCCGAAUCAUGUGCCGUUUGAUUUGUUGCAAAGUACACUUUAAAUCUUUUCCCUCUCAGCUGUAUGAAUGCUUGAUUCUUGUUGGCCCUCCCGUUCGCCUCCAUCGUAUCUCAUCUUCACCUUGGACUUGAAAAGCUCGACAAGAUGCAUACGUAAUAAAACGAAACAAGAUAGUAGUAGCUCCGCCUCUUCAUAAAUAUGACAAUGAAAACAAUUACUACUUGAAUUCACCUGAUUAUAAAUCUUGUCAAAUAUUAUAGAAUUGAGGGCACCAAAGGUCGUAUCCAUCGUUAGCAUGUCCAUAUCAUCCUCCCUUUCUUGAAAGGAAAGCCGUCCUCGGCGUCGUUUGUGCUGUAAAGAGACUGACAAAAUAGACAAAGUGUGUGCAUGGUAUAUGUAUAUGUCAUCCAUCUUUAUACAUCUCCUUUCUUGCACAAUUAAUCUUUUAUAACAAAGUCUCAUGAGAUAAUUAGUAAAACAAUCAUGAUGAAUAACAUUCCAGCAAGGAGAUUGACAAUAUUGUUUGCAUUUAUAAGCGAAACGAUUUCUUGUAUUUGGUUUGCACCGCUCACCAUUACACCAUCCCAACAUUGGAGAAUAAUAAUGAAUAGUAUCCAAAUUAGUUACUACAAUAUGCUGAAAUUUAGAGCAAGUCAAAGCAUUAAUAUUCAAACAAGCAUGUAAAUAACUAUUUGGCAAAUAAUCAACACCUAUAUUGGAGGUCCUAUCAAAACGAUUAAGCAUGUGCAAAAAUUUCUUUUCUCCCAAGAGAGGAAAAUUAUCACAAGUAAUGCAAAUCUCAUGCACCAAAAUGUUAUUGUUCACAUCAUGUUGUCCAAUUAAAUGAAAUGUGUAUCCGUGAACAGCAAAAGAUUUCGAAAUUGUUAACUCACACAGUUUAUCCAUUGCAUGCGACAAAUACAUGGGACUAUCAAGUGCAAUAUAACACAAAGAAUUAAUAGGUGGAUCGUUCUCAAUCACUCCAUGUGUAAUUAAAUUGACACAACCUAAACCAAAUUUAUCUACAUCACAUGUUUCUCCCAAAACAUUAGUUAUUUCCUCACAUGAUUCAUUCUCAUCAAUAUCAAAAUUAAUAUGUGCACUCAAAUCAUUAGAAAAAUUAAUUUCAUCAGUAGGUGCACUGAAAUCAGCAUGUAAAUCAACAAUUUCACAUGGUGCAGAAAAUUCAACGGGUAUCUCAUUUAUUUCAUCACGUGUCAUAUUUUGUUCAGCAACACAAUCAUCUUUAUCAUUACCUUGUAGGCUCAACACGUUUCUUGUACACCUUCUCUCCAAUUUCCUCUCCGCUUCACGAGCAAGAUUAAGCAAACACAAUAGAGAGUCGUAUUUUCCGUAUUCAAUUAUGUAAGAAAUAUCAAAGUUAAGCCCACAAUAAAACCUAUCCAUUUUUCUUUGUUCGGUUUCAUCUAAACCAGAUCACAAGGUUAAAAUUUGGAACUCAUGGUAGUAAUCAUCAACAGUUUUAUCAUCUUGUGUCAAACGUCGUAAUUUGGAACGCAACUCAUAAGCAUAACUUGGAGGAACAUAUUUUUCUCUCAUGAUUUUCUUCAUAUCAAUCCAAGUGUGAGGUAUUUUGUUUUCUCUAACUAUCUCACACCACCAUGAUAAUGCAUCAAAACGAAAUUUACUACUAGCAAUUUGGACCUUACGACUAUCUAGUACAUGGAAGCAUGUGAAUUGUUCAGUUAAAGCUAGCUCCCAAUCUAUAUACGUUUCAGCAUCAUUUUCCCCCUCAAAGAAAGGUACACACAAUUUAAUUGUAUUAGAAGGAUUGUUUUGUACCGUUGCCGUGGCAUUAUCAACAAGAGACGUGGAGGAUGGCCGUGGUGAAAAGCACUCAUCGCGGUCACGGGAUAGCAUCGGUCUAGUUGCCAUGCUUCGUGUAAGUCCUGUCAUGGUUAGUAGAAAACAAGAAACAAAUCACAGUAAUAUGUUCCUAUCAACUACUAGGAUGUGGCUACAAGUCGCUCAACUCUCAAGCUAAAAAUCAAGUUCUUACAAGUUUUUAUCAUGCAAAACAGGAAGGUCAUGGCCAGCGGCGUAACCAACACCUCCGGAGAUUAAAUGUAUCGAUGCCUCGGUAACAAACCAACCUAGGUGUAGAAUCUGUGGUGCUUGGAGGCUUUUGUGAGUAGCAAGGAAUAGCAAAUAAUCAAAUCAGCAAUGCAAAGUUGAAAAUAUGCUCAAUAAUGCUAGUCCUAGCUGCUGGAGUCGAUAAGAACGAAUUACAGAAAUAAUCUAAGCCUAGAUACUGAAGAAGAUAGGAUAGAAAGAUCAAAAGAUGGCACAACAAGUAAAUCCUUGGGAUUUUUUUCUUCUUUUUUUUCUUUUUGUGGCCUUCUGUUUGGCUUCUUAUUCUUUUCUUCUUCUUUUUUUCUUCUUUUUUUUAACCCCAGAAACUCACGCAAAAGAAGGACCGGAAAACUGUACGUCGGUCUGUCGAAGAACAGCAAAGGCUGCAGUAAGAAAAAUUCAGAAAAAUAUGGAAAAAUAUGGGUUAGAAGCGUAUCGACACAAGCUUUCUAGCAAAGGCAAGAUCACUCAAAACGGAUGUCGGACGGUGGAGAAAACUGAGAAACACCGGGCUGCAGCGACGCCGGAAAACGGAUGCAGAAACUUGGAAGCUCCGAAAGUCCACCUUACAAACCGAAUUUGAGGGUCAAAGUGUAGGGCAACGCCCUGGAUAUUUCCUGAUGCGCCUCGUCGUGAGCUUUCCAAAAAGUCCAAGAACAUCCAAAUCCGAGUUGGUACGCAAAAGAUACGCCCGUUUUACUGAACACGGGUCAAACCCACCCGAAACUAAAAUUCUACUCGGACUCGGGUCCGAAACUGACUCGAACUCUUUCUCUUCUUUUUUUUUCGUUUUUUUUUCUUUCUUUCCUUUUUUUUUUGUUUCCUUUCUUUUUUUUGACAACUUUCCGAACAACUUGAUCUCUAAACAAAAUUCGAUCUAUUAUGAAAACUUUCCAAAAGCACUCUUGAUUGGACUCGGACUCGAACUUGCGGCUGAAAACUAUAACUUGCCGACUCAAUGUAGAACUCGAUGUAGGACUCAAAGAGGGACUCGGUGUAGGACUCGAAGAGAGACUCGGUGGAAGAUAUGGUGGCGGCGGGAGAUUAUGGCGGUGGUGUGGCAGGAAGUUUGGCGGCGGAAGAUUGAUGAAGGAAACCUGCGUCACACGAAGAACAAGAAAACCAAAAUCAAGUUCGAUCUAGUAGAAAAAAUCUGAAAAACGAUCCAAUCUAAUCCAGCAACUCGACACGAUUAAUGCAGCAAAGAUUCAACAAUGCAAAUACUGAAGUGAAAAUUGCAAGGCUCAGAUUGGUUCUAGGACAAGGUAACUAAUUCUAAUUUUUGUUUGGCUUUUUCUGGACGAUAGGUAAAAACAGAUCUAAACUAGGGAUAAACUGGAAAAAUCUCACCGAGCAACCUUAAGCUCUGAUACCACGUGAUACGGGUGCGGGUGGCCCGAUCUUUCGAUGAGAUUGGUAACUCUCGAUUUGGGUAGGAGGUGACGUUGGCGAUCCGACUACGGCCUAGGAGGCAGCGCCUUAGCAAUCGAUACACCAACUCCAAAGGGUUAUUGAUCACGCGGGGGCACGAUCAACCUGACCACGAAGGUCUUUGUUCCUGCAAGCAAUCGAAGAACAAGCAAGAAGAAGAUAAAUAGCGGAUGCAAUCUAAAAUUGCGAAUAUACUAUAUCAAACAAAUGUCUCAACGAGACGAUAAGUUGGGGUUCCGAAAGCGGUAAACAGGUGGUCUAACCGACACACGCGAUUACACGAAGUAGUAGCGAUGACUAACUUUUAACUAAACAAAACCCAAGGCUCCUUAGGGGGGCUCAUGAGGUAUAUAAAGGAGGAGGGAGAGAUACUUUCGUCCACCUUGAAUAAGGAGUCCGAAAUCCAACUCUAUCUCUAACUUUCCUAACAAACUACAACUCUUUAGAAAACAGAAAAACAGAUCCGUCAGCUUGUUUUGUCCGCCACGGUCAGCACGAGUCGAAUCUCUUGAUGGGGCCAGAUCCGUUGGAAAGGUCUUGUAAUUACCUUUCCAACAAGUACUUGUUUGCUUGAUUUGGACUCCGGAUGCGGCCUGGGUGAUUAAAACAAAUUCGGAUCUCCUGGCAGCUCGGACCCGAAUCGGAUUCAACUUUAAUUCGUGAUAUCUUUCUCUAGCAAGCUCCGAAUCAUGUGCCGUUUGAUUUGUUGCAAAGUACACUUUAAAUCCUUCCCUCUCAGCUGUAUGAAUGCUUGAUUCUUGUUGGCCCUCCCGUUCGCCUCCAUCGUAUCUCAUCUUCACCUUGGACUUGAAAAGCUCGACAAGAUGACUACGUAAUAAAACGAAACAAGAUAGUAGUAGCUCCGCCUCUUCAUAAAUAUGACAAUGAAAACAAUUACUACUUGAAUUCACCUGAUUAUAAAUCUUGUCAAAUAUUAUAGAAUUGAGAGCACCAAAGGUCGUAUCCAUGGUUAGCAUGUCCAUAUCAUUUCAGCCGCAAGUUCGAGUCCAAGUCCAAUCAAGAGUGCUUUUGGAAAGUGUUUCAUAAUAGAUCGAAUUUUGUUUAGAGAUCAAGUUGUUCGGAAAGUUGAAAAAAAAAAGAAAGGAAAGAAAAAAAAAGGAAAGAAAGAAAGAAAGAAAAAAGGAAAAAAAAAGAGAAAGAGUUCGAAUCAGUUUCGGACCCGAGUCCGAGUAGAAUUUUAGUUUCGGGUGGGUUUGACCCGUGUUCAGUAAAACGGGCGUAUCUUUUGCGUACCAACUCGGAUUUGGACGUUCUUGGACUUUUUGGAAAGCUCACAAUGAGGCGCACUAGGAAAUAUCCAGGACGUUGACCUGCACUUUGACCCUCAAAUUCGGUUUGUAAGGUGGACUUUCGGAGCUUCCAAGUUUCUGCAUCCGUUUUUCGGCGUCCCUGUAGCCCGGUGUUUCUCAGUUUUCUCCACGGUCCGACAUCCGUUUUGAGUGAUCUUGCCCUUGCUGGAAAGCUUGUGUCGAUACGCUUCUAACCCAUAUUUUUCCAUAUUUUUCUGAAUUUUUCUUAUUGCAGCCUUUGCUGUUCUUCGAAAGACCGACGUAAUGUUUUUCGGUCCUUCUUUUGCGUAAGUUUCUGGGGUUAAAAAAAAAAAAAAAGAAGAAGAAAAGAAUAAGAAGCCAAACAGAAGGCCACAAAAAGAAAAAAAAUCCCAGGGAUUUACUUGUUGUGCCAUCUUUUGAUCUAUCUAUUUCUACCUUCUUCAGUAUCUAGGCUUAGAUUAUUUCUGUAAUUCGUUCUUAUCGACUCCAGCAGCUAGGACUAGCAUUAUUGAACAUAUUUUCAACUUUGCAUUGCUGAUUUGAUUAUUUGCUAUUCCUUGCUACUCACAAAAGCCUCCAAGCUCCACAGAUUCUACACCUAGGUUGGUUUGUUACCGAGACAUCGAUACAUUUAAUCUUCGGAGGGCUUGGUCACGCCGCUGGCCAUCACCUUCCUGUUUUGCAUGGUAAGAACUUGUAAGAACUUGAUUUUUAGCUUGAGAGUUGAGCGACUUGUAGCCACAUCCUAUUAGUUCAUAGGAACAUAUUCCUGUGUUUUGUUUCUUGUCUUAUACUAACCAUGACAGAACUUACACGAAGGAUGGAAAAUAGGCCUAUGCUAUCAAGUGACCGACAUGAGCGUUUUUCACCACGUCCAUCCGCCUCAUCUCUUGUUGACAUUGGCAAGGCAAAAGUAUAUCGCAUUCUUUGUAAUGUCAAUAAUUGUUUUGGACCUUUCUUUGAUGGAAAUAAUGAUGCUGAAGCUUAUAUUGAUUGGCAAAAUAGAUCUAAUUGCGCAAUUCACAUGCUUCCAUGUACUAGAUAGUCGUAAGGUCCAAAUUGCUAGUAGUACAUUUCGUUUUGAUGCAUUAUCAUGGUGGAGUGAGAUAGUUAGAGAAAAAAAGAUACCUCACACUUGGAUUGAUAUGAAGAAAAUCAUGAGAGAAAAAUAUGUUCCUCCAAGUUAUGCUUAUGAGUUGCGUUCCGAAUUACGACGUUUGAACCAAGAUGAUAAAACUGUUGAUGCUUACUACCAUGAGUUCCAAAUUUUAACAUUACGAUCUAGUUUUGAUGAAACAGAAGAAAGGAAAAUGGAUAGACUACGGGCUUAACUUUGAAAUUUCUUACAUGAUUGAAUAUGGAUAAUACGACUCUAUAUUGUGUUUGCUUAAUCUUGCUCGUGAAGUUGAGCUGAAAUUACAACGAAGGUCCACUACAAAUGAGUCGAGCCCACAAGGUAACGAUACAAAAGAUUUUGUUGAUGAACUAAAUAUAACGAGUGUUGGAAUAAAUGAGAUAUCUGAUGAACAUGCUGGCCUUGUAAAAUUGUUGAUUUACUUGCUGAUUUGAGCACACACAUUGAUUCAAAUGAUAAUGAUUUAUGUGUGGAUUUACCUACUGAUUAUGAAGAGACUUGUGAUGCGAUGAUUAAAUUUGAUUUAUGUUGCGUUGAAUUAAUUAAACAUGAAGAAGUGUUUCCUAUGGUUCUGCCUAUUAAUUCUUUGUGUUCUAUAUAUUUGUCACAUGCAAUGGACAAAGUUUUCGAGUUAACAAUUUCAAAAUCUUCUGCUAGUGCUUAUGGAUACACUAUUCAAUUAAUUGGAGAGCAUGAUGUGAACAAUAAAUUUUUGGUGCAUCAGAUUUGCAGUGCUUGUGAUAACUUUUUUGAUUUGAGAGAGAACAAUAUUUUGCGUAUGCUCAAUCAUUUUGAUAUGACCUCUAAUAUUGGUGAUAGUUGUAUGACAAAUAACUUGUGACAUGAUUGCACAUUGAUGCAUAUUGUAGCAUGCCAUUUGGAAAUUUUGAAUUAUUGUUCACCUACAUUAGGAUGGUUUAAUGAUGAGAAUUACAAAUUAAAAUGUGAUACUUGCCGUUGGAAUAUGACUAUUAAUCUUUUGCACUAUUAUGAGUUUUAUUUAUGUGAAACAUCGAAUGUGCAGCAUGGGAGUGGAGUUGACAUAUACAUAUACCAUGCACACACUUUGUCUAUUUUGUCAGCCUCUUUUCAGCACAAACGACGCCGAGGACGGCUUUUCUUUCAAGAAAGGGAGGAUGAUAUGGACAUGAUCACCAUGGAUACGACCAUUAGAACCCUAAUUGUUGAUGUAUCUAAUAACUAUUAUAAUAAGGUGAAUUCAAUUACAAAAUGUUUUCAAUGUGUUACUUGCAAAGAGGCGGAGCUACUAUCUUGUGUAAUCUUAUUAUGUAGGCAUCUUAUUGAACUUUACAAGUCCAAAGUGAAGAUGAAGUGUGAUAGCCUGCAAAGGGAGAUUCAAAGUGAAGCCUAUCAAGUCUACUUUCCAACAAAUCAAACGGCACAUGAUUCGGAGCUUGCUAGAGAAAGAUAUCACGAAUUAAAGUUGAAUCUGAUUCGGGUCCGAGCUGCCAGGAGACCCGAAUUUGUUUUAAUCACCCAGGCCGCAUCCGAGUCCAAAUCAAGAAAACAAGUACUUGUUGGAAAGUUAAUUACAAGACCUUUACAACGGAUCUAGCCCCAUCAAGGGAUUCGACUCGUGCUGACCGUGGCGGACAAAACAAGCUGACGGAUCUGUUUUUCUGUUUCUUAAAGAGUUGUAGUUUGUUAGGAAAGUUAGAGAUAGAGUUGGAUUUCGGCCUCCUUACUCAAGGUGGACGAAAAUAUCUCUCCCUCCUUCUUUAUAUACCCCAUGAGCCCCCCUAAGGAGCCUUGGGUUUUGAUUAGAUAAAGUUUAGCCAUCUUUGCUACUUUCGUGUAAUCGCGUGUGUCGGUUAGACCACCUGUUUUACCGUCGUCAAGACUCCAACUUAUCGUCUCGUUGAGACAUUGGUUUGAUAUAGUAUAUUCGCAAUUUGAGAUUGCAUCCACUAUUUAUCUUGUUCUUGCUCGUUCUUCGAUUGCUUGCAGGAACAAAGACCUUCGUUGUCAGGUUGAUCGUGCCCCCGCGUGAUCAAUAACCCUCUGGAGUUGGUGUAUCGAUUGUUAAGGCGCUGCCUCCUAGGCCGUAGUCGGAUCGUCAACGUCACCUCCUACCCAAAUCGAGAGUUAUCAAUCUCAUCGAAAGAUCGGGCCACCCACACCCACAUCAGUUCCUCUGAGUCGAGUUCCAUUGGAUUCAGGAAUGGAUCGUCCAUGGACGUCUCUCCCGUGGAUUUGGGGAGCGCCUAUGUUGCAAAUGUGGAAUGCCACCUGGGGUAACAGAGAUCGGACUAUUUUCCUGUUUAGUAGCUUGCAGUACAACCACAUGGUAAUAUGGGCUCUGCCAGGAUGGAUGUAAGACAUAUGAUCCUGGAUCCGAGGGAUUGUGCAGAUGUAGCCGUGUAGGUGGGAACGUAGGUCCCUCAGGUGGUCUGGGUGAUUAUGGUCUGAAAAUUCCUCUAAUCGAUGCCGUUGCUACUCUACCCCGAGGAUAGCAAAGGAUUAACACGUCGAUUUCUUGUGGGUAAAAUGUACAACCUCUCGAGAGUGUCAAACUAAGUACUUAGCCGUGUCCUCGGUUACGGACAAUUUUGAGCAACUAGAUUUGGGGGCUGUAAGGAAGGUCUCACUCAUUCCAAUUUAUUAAUAAAAUGUAUGGUUUGAACAGGGUAGGAACAAUUGAUGUGUGUACUCAAUGUGCUCUAGGUUAAUAGGAGCAUGGGUGUUUCUACUCCGUGUCCAAUAGUGAUAAAACUAUUUGUUUAAAAAUUUUAGGAUGAAACAUUGAUGCUUUUAUGCAAAUAGCCAAACCCCUACCUUGCCAAAUAGUGCAUAUACUUGUUAGGUCUGCUAUAACCCUUUGGUGAACUUGCCAAUACAUUCAAUGUAUUGACCCCCUAGUGGCUGCAACGUUUAAAUGUUGCAGGUGAACCACGUGAAGAGUGAGGUGCGAAUUGUUAGGGUUGCGAGUUUACAUUCCAACAUGUUUCAACCGUGGAGUUGUUAUGGGACUCCUGUAUCUUCUGCCUUCCGCUGCAAGAUUUUAUUUUCUCUUUAGCUAACCCAUGAGAUUAUACAAUAUGUAAGGUACUAUUUAAUUCUGGAUCAAUACGACGUAAUAUACUUUUGACCUUUGUAUCUUGAUAUUACAUCUUGAAACUGUGUGUGCUAGCGAGUCGAUCCAGGGACUAGCACAGUAAGCACAGAGAUCGAACCCUGUAUGGGGGCGGUCGCUUCAGCUGCCAGGCUGCCCAAAUUCCUCGCCGGAGAAGCUUCGGACACCGCCGUCUUUUUGGUCGCCGCCGACUAGCCAGUGAACUCUAACCGCCACUUUUUGUUUCUUCCUUCUCCUCUCUUCAUUGCGCACCUCGUGGCGCGCACCUUUUCUUUUGUUGUGCCCUGUAGCGCAAAGACCCGACCCGGCCGAAGCUCACCGUCGGCGCCACCUCUUCCCGUCAUCCUAGGCGUCGUUCCUGUCGCCCUUGAGGAAAACCGCCGCCGCCUUCGAGUUCGUCUCGCGGAACCGCACCUCCGCCGCCGAUUCCUGAGCUCCGAGGAUCAUCAGAACGCCCACACCUCCGUUUUCCACACCGCCGCCGUCGCCAAAACCCUAGCACAGCCGCCUGAGGUAAGGCAGAUGCUCCCCGACCGUCCGAUCUCCUUUCCACGGUUGAGAUUAGAACACUUAAGUGAAGGGGUAUCGGUAGAUCUGGGCCAUCCGUUUAUGCAGAUCCGACGGCUGGCUUACAAAAAUCAAAUAAGCUUUUAAUUAAGGCUCAUCUCUGUUUCAUACAAAGUAAUUGCCCCUUUAUUAAUUUAUAAUCUGUCCAAACUUUUUGUGAAGCUCUUUAAAACAGAAGAUAAACAUGUUAAGUUUAAAACCAACCUUAGUGUGUAUCUUCAUGACUAUUGCAUCAGGACAUGUUUUUGUAUUGAAUAGCAUGUUUAUGUGUGUGUGUAUUCUUUUAUUUUAGAUUGUGUUGAUUGUGAACCUUGUUGUUGCGAAGAGUGCGAGAACUACCACAACCUUGGACAAGGCAAGUUCACUUUGAUCAUUUUCCAAAUAUUUUUACUAUGCACUAGUUGCUUUAUUAGUUGCAUUAGGAAUAUUAUUUGUACCUCUAUGCUAGCUAUAAAUCGCAGGUAGUAUAGUUUUACCCUUGCCAUUACCUUGCUACCAAUUUGCCAUCACCUUGCUGUUGAAUGCUAAGCUAUGGUAGUAUCGUGGGGGAAAUUACUACAUUAUGGUAUUGUUAUGUCUUUGGAGAAAUGAGAUGUUUAAUUAGAGUAAGGCAAAAUAAUCAAUUUAACCAUCCUGGGUUGACAGCUUUGAGGAUUUUGAUGUUUUGCGGCGUCAGGUCCAUUUCUAUGAGUCGUCUCUCCAUGUCUAUGGGAGCGCCUGGGUCGCAAAUGUGAAAUGCCACCUGGGGUAACCGAGACUGGACUAGUUUCCUUUUUAGUAGCUUCCAGUACAACCACAAUGCUAAAUGGGCUCUCGCGAGAAUAAAGUAUGUUGUAUGAACCUACACCCGAGGAAUUGUAAUGAGGUAGCCUGUGUAGGGGGAGCGUGAUUCUCUCGUGGUUUAGGGAAUUACUUCUGAAAAUCUCGUAAUCGACGCCGUUUCUACUCUAUCCUGAGGACAGCAGGGGAUUAACCCGUCGGUUUCUUGUGGGGAAUGUGUACAAACUCUCGAGAGCGUCAAAACGAAGUACUUAGCCGUGUCCCCGGUUAUGAACAAUUAUGAGCAACUGGAUAGUGGAGCUGUAAGGAAAGUCUCACUCACUCUAAUUUCUUAAUAAAAUGAAUGGUUUGAACUUGGGGUUUAGGAGCAUUGAUGUGUCUACUAUAUGUUCUUAGUUUAAUAGGAGCAUGGUUGUGUCUACCCCAUGUCCUAUAGUGAUAAAAUUAUUUGAUUAAAAUGAUAGAAUUAAACAAUUAAGCUUUUAUGCAAAUAGCCUGAACCCCACCUUGCCAGAAUAUACAUAUACUUGGUAGGUUCUGAUAUAACUCCUAGUGAUCUUGCCAAUACAUUCAAUGUAUUGACCCUAGUGGCUGCGUCGUUUAAUGAUGCAGGAAGCUCCGACAAAGAGUAAGGUUACGCUCUGGUGUUUGGGUUACGGGCCUACAUUCCAACACGCUCUCAUCGUGGUGUUGAUGUAGCCCUUGUAGCUUUAGUUUUCCAUUGUUGAACUAUUGUUUUAAUUCCAGCUAACCCAUGGGGUUAUGCGAGUUUGUAAGUACUCUUAAAUUCUGGAUGAUGCGUUGUAAUACUUGAGACCUUUGUUCUAUGAUAUUACAUCUUGAAACUGUGUGUGCUAGGUAGUCGAUCUAGGGACUAGCACUAAAAGCACAGAGAUCGAACCCGUGUACGGGGGUGGUCGCUUCAGAUGGUAUCAAAGCAUUGUGUUGCCUGUAGGAACGUGACCCUAGAAUGGACUAGACCAAAAGAGACCAUAGGAUUAUUCUAUGCAUUGCAUGCCUCUUUGAGUUUGCAUGUUGGAUACAUUCAUAUUCAUAUACCUUUCAAAUCAUAUCAUUGUUUAGUACCUACAUACUACAUGUGUUUUACUUCAUUUACACUUGCAAUAUUAUCCCUUCUCAUGCAUCUUCAGAUUUUAUAUGCAUUUAUAACAAUCUCAUACUACACUGUCAUGUUUCCACCAUUGCAUUUAUUCGUCAUGUUUGCAUAACAUACACACCACCUUGUCAUCGUUACAUUUAUGCAUUUAUCUACUUGAGCAUAUGACUGAUUCUCUCCUCCCACCAAAAAUCUUGUAGAUGAACGGCCCACCAAACUUCGGCGACGAACCUCCCUUCACUCACGUCCACUACCCAACAACCGAGGACGACAUCCCCUUUGGAAGGCAGCUGGCGACGUUGUGCACGACGCUGCACCUGGCAGCACCUUGUUUCAGAGGACGCGCCGAGCCAGAGGGAUCUCAGGGAGGAGCAAGCCGCUGGGAGAUUGACACCGAGAUCAAGGGACGGACUGUUAUCCCAAUGACGCCCGACAUCACCUACUCCGUGCGCUACCCCGACUUCAUGCUGGGACUCCAGUUCGCCAUGCAUCACGCGAUAGCGCAUGUGUGCGAGGCAUACCACGACGACCUGCCACAGGAAUCCGUCUUCCGUAGCUUCGGGAGGCGAAUUGUUGGCAGGAAUGCCGUGGGACCGAAAGUCCUAGGCGAAGAUCCACACAUGGAGGAUGUUCAGUUUCAAGCAUUGGAGCAGAACACGGUGGAUAUGGGGAAGAGCCUUUACAAUGAGAUGACCCGAGCGGACAAUGAUGAGGAAUAGGUGGGGAUACUCAAGGGACAACUGGCGCAGCAGGCAACUGAGCUGACCCGCAGGGGAACCGCCAUCCUGAACAUGCACGAGUUCAUGGAGCAGAUUCUGUAUGAGAAGGACCUUCUGCAGCUCAACUUCGACCAGCUCCAAGCUCAAGUCACCAACCCUGCACCUAGACCUGCACCUGCACCAGCACAGCCUCCACCACCCCCUCAGGAUGAGGAGAUGGAGCCACAGGAGGAGGAGCCUCAGGAGGCGCAGGAGAUGAACACCCUUGCCACCAACACCCGUUCUAGGGCGAGGACCUCCAGAGCCACCAACUUCGUCGCCCUUCCUUAGACUCAGCUCGGAGCCCGCCAAACUAUCUAUCUAUUUAUAUUUCGUUAAUCGUGAUAGUCAUUGACCAUGCUGUCGUUGUGGUGUGACAAUGUAGAUUCGUGUGUUUGCUUGCAACUUUUACUUAUGAUUUAGGCUGGUAUGCCUCGUGAACUUUUUUCUUUUGGAUGCUAAAUUUUAGUGAAUGCUUUGCUUGUGUUAUAAUUGUCAUCUUCAUGUUUGAAUUUGCUAUACUUGUGAUAUGCCUGUUGUUUGUAUUGUUGUAUUUGCCUGUGUUGUGGGGCUUAGUUUUCCCUUAGACCCUAUCUGUCUAUUGUCCUCAUCUAUGCUGUCCCAAAAUAGAUGCCGUCGAGACGUGAACCUCGCCGCAGUGCUACUGAUAUGGACAUGAUCACCAUGGAUACGACCAUUAGAACCCUAAUUGUUGGUGUAUCUAAUAACAAUUAUAAUCAGGUGAAUUCAAUUACAAAAUGUUUUCAAUAUGUUACUUGCAAUGAGGCGGAGCUACUAUCUUGUGUAAUCUUAUUAUGUAGGCAUCUUAAUGAACUUUACAAAUCCAAAGUGAAGAUGAAGUGUGAUAGCCUGCAAAGGGAGAUUCAAAGUGAAGCCUAUCAAGUCUACUUUCCAAGAAAUCAAACGGCACAUGAUUCGGAGCUUGCUAGAGAAAGAUAUCACGAAUUAAAGUGGAAUCCGAUUCGGGUCCGAGCUGCCAGGAGACCCGAAUUUGUUUUAAUCACCCAGGCCGCAUCCGGAGUCCAAAUCAAGCAAACAAGUACUUGUUGGAAAGGUAAUUACAAGACCUUUCCAACGGAUCUGGCCCCAUCAAGAGAUUCGACUCGUGCUGACCGUGGCGGACAAAACAAGCUGACGGAUCUGUUUUUCUGUUUUCUAAAGAGUUGUAAUUUGUUAGGAAAGUUAGAGAUAGAGUUGGAUUUCGGACUCCUUAUUCAAGGUGGACGAAAAUAUCUCUCUCUCCUCCUUUAUAUACCCCAUGAGCCCCCCUAAGGAGCCUUGGGUUUUGUUUAGUUAAAAGUUAGCCAUCGCUACUACUUCGUGUAAUCGCGUGUGUCGGUUAGACCACCUGUGUUACCGCUUUCGGAACCCCAACUUAUCGUCUCGUUGAGACUUUGGUUUGAUAUAGUAUAUUCGCAAUUUUAGAUUGCAUCCGCUAUUUAUCUUGUUCUUGCUUGUUCUUCGAUUGCUUGCAGGAACAAAGACCUUCGUGGUCAGGUUGAUCGUGCCCCCGCGUGAUCAAUAACCCUUUGGAGUUGGUGUAUCGAUUGCUAAGGCGCUGCCUCCUAGGCCGUAGUCGGAUCGUCAACGUCACCUCCUACCCAAAUCGAGAGUUACCAAUCUCAUCGAAAGAUCGGGCCACCCGCACCCGUAUCACGUGGUAUCAGAGCUUAAGGUUGCUCGGUGAGAUUUUUCCAGUUUAUCCGUAGUUUAGAUCUGUUUUUACCUAUCGUCCAGAAAAAGCCAAACAAAAAUUAGAAUUAGUUACCUUGUCCUAGAACCAAUCUGAGCCUUGCAAUUUUCACAUUAGUAUUUGCAUUGUUGAAUCUUUGCUGCAUUAAUCGUGUCGAGUUGCUGGAUUAGAUUGGAUCGUUUUUCAGAUUUUUUCUACUAGAUCGAACUUGCUUUUGGUUUUCUUGUUCUUCGUGUGACGCAGGUUUCCUUCAUCAAUCUUCCGCCGCCAAACUUCCUGCCACACCACCGCCAUAAUCUUCCGCCGCCACCAUAUCUUCCACCGAGUCCCUCUUGGAGUCCUACACCGAGUCCCUCUUCGAGUCCUACACCGAGUCCCUCAUCGAGUCCUACACCGAGUCCCUCUUCGAGUCCUACACCGAGUCGGCAAGUUAUAGUUUUCAGCCGCGAAUCCGAGUCCGAGUCCAAUAAGGAGUGCUUUUGGAAAGUGUUUCAUCAUAGAUCGAAUUUUGUUUAGAGAUCAAGUUGUUUGGAAAUUUGAAAAAAAAAAAAGGAAAGAAAAAAAAAGGAAAGAAAGAAAGAAAAAAAAACGAAAAAAAAAAAGAGUUCGAGUCAGUUUCGGACCCGAGUCCGAGUAGAAUUUUAGUUUCGGGUGGGUUUGACCCGUGUUCAGUAAAACGGGCGUAUCUUUUGCGUACCAACUCGGAUUUGGACGUUCUUGGACUUUUUGGAAAGCUCAGGACGAGGCGCAUCAGGAAAUAUCCAGGGCGUUGCCCUGCACUUUGACCCCCAAAUUCGGUUUGUAAGGUGGACUUUCUGAGCUUCCAAGUUUCUGCAUCCGUUUUCCGGCGUCGCUGCAGCCCGGUGUUUCUCAGUUUUCUCCAUUGUCCGACAUCCGUUUUGAGUGAUCUUGCCCUUGCUGGAAAGCUUGUGUCGAUACCCUUCUAACCCAUAUUUUUCCAUAUUUUUCUGGAUUUUUCUUACUGCAGCCUUUGCUGUUCUUCGACAGACCGACGUACAGUUUUCCGGUCGUUCUUUUGCGUGAGUUUCUGGGGUUAAAAAAAAAAAAGAAAAAAAAAAGAAGAAGAAAAGAAUAAGAAGCCAAACAGAAGGCCACAAAAAAAAAAGAAAAAAAAAUCCCAGGGAUUUACUUGUUGUGCCAUCUUUUGAUCUAUCUAUUCCUACCUUCUUCAGUAUCUAGGCUUAGAUUAUUUCUGUAAUUCGUUCUUAUCGACUCCAGCAGCUAGGACUAGCAUUAUUGAGCAUAUUUUCAACUUUGCAUUGCUGAUUUGAUUAUUUGCUAUUCCUUGCUACUCACAAAAGCCUCCAAGCUCCACAGAUUCUACACCUAGGUUGGUUUGUUACCGAGGCAUUGAUACAUUUAAUCUUCGGAGGGCUUGGUCACGCCGCUGGCCAUCACCUUCCUGUUUUGCAUGGUAAGAACUUGUAAGAACUUGAUUUUUAGCUUGAGAGUUGAGCGACUUGUAGCCACAUCCUAGUAGUUGAUAGGAACAUAUUACUGUGAUUUGUUUCUUGUUUUCUACUAACCAUGACAGGACUUACACGAAGCAUGGCAACUAGACCGAUGCUAUCCCGUGACCGCAAUGAGUGCUUUUCACCACGGCCAUCCUCCACGUCUCUUGUUGAUAAUGCCACGGCAACGGUACAAAACAAUCCUUCUAAUACAUAUAAAUUGUGUGUACCUUUCUUUGAGGGGAAAAAUGAUGCUGAAACGUAUAUAGAUUGGGAGCUAGCUUUAACUGAACAAUUCACAUGCUUCCAUGUACUAGAUAGUCGUAAGGUCCAAAUUGCUAGUAGUAAAUUUCGUUUUGAUGCAUUAUCAUGGUGGUGUGAGAUAGUUAGAGCAAACAAAAUACCUCACACUUGGAUUGAUAUGAAGAAAAUCAUGAGAGAAAAAUAUGUUCCUCCAAGUUAUGCUUAUGAGUUGCGUUCCAAAUUACGACGUUUGACACAAGAUGAUAAAACUGUUGAUGAUUACUACCAUGAGUUCCAAAUUUUAACCUUGCGAUCUUGUUUAGAUGAAACCGAACAAAGAAAAAUGGAUAGGUUUUAUUGUGGGCUUAACUUUGAUAUUUCUUACAUAAUUGAAUACGGAAAAUACGACUCUCUAUUGUGUUUGUUUAAUCUUGCUCGUGAAGCGGAGAGGAAAUUGGAGAGAAGGUGUACAAGAAACGUGUUGAGCCUACAAGGUAAUGAUAAAGAUGAUUGUGUUGCUGAACAAAAUAUGACAUGUGAUCAAAUAAAUGAGAUACUCGUUGAAUUUUCUGCACCAUGUGAAAUUGUUGAUUUACAUGCUGAUUCAAGUGCACCUACUGCUGAAAUUAAUUAUUCUAAUGAUUUGAGUGCACAAAUUAAUUUUCAUAUUGAUGAGAACGAAUCAUGUGAGGAAAUAACUAAUGUUUUGGGAGAAACAAGUGAGAUAGAUAAAUUUGAUUUAGGUUGUGUCGAGUUGAUU